AUUGGACAAAACAAGAUGGCGGCGGAAACAAAUCGAAAAAGUUUUUAAGCUUUGGAUGCAUCGUUAAAUGAAAUACCAGGAGGAGGAAUUCAAUAUAUACCUUAUCUUACUGAAGGGAAUAAAAUAUUCAUAUCAGAGACCACUGUGUUGAUAAAACCGAAAGAGCUCACAAGUUGGGCCAGGAAAAGGAAAAGAGGAACCAUUAGUAAGCCAGAGGAUCUAUCCGCAAAAGUGAAAACUCUUAUUUAAGCGUACGAGAAUUUCACCGUGCACAUGAGGCUAAAUUCGCAAUCGCAUCAUCUAGGGUCUUUCCGCCAGGCGUCGGAAAAUCAACCUCGAAUGUAUUAACAUCACCGGAUGUUAAAAAUAUACACUUCCUGUUUAUUUAAAUAUAUGACUGAAGGGGUUAGAAGUCCCUCCCUUCUCUUGUAUAUUUUAAGUAAUAGCAUUGCAUUCAAAAUAUAUAAACUCCAUACUCCACAGAUAAGAUGUCUUCUAACAUUUAUUUCAAAGUUGGUGAAAGGGGGGGUUCAUGGUGUCUAUAAAGUACAUUCGAUCGAGGUUGUUUUUAGACUGUUGGUUGAAAAGGCCCGAGAAUUUGCCAUUGGCGAAAUUCGGUCCUAGUUAUAAUAAACAGAGUACGUAUGCUAGUACUAUAGAGUACUUUAGAGU